ACUCCUACGGGAGGCAGCAGUGGGGAAUAUUGGACAAUGGGCGCAAGCCUGAUCCAGCCAUGCCGCGUGAGUGAUGAAGGCCCUAGGGUUGUAAAGCUCUUUCACCGGUGAAGAUAAUGACGGUAACCGGAGAAGAAGCCCCGGCUAACUUCGUGCCAGCAGCCGCGGUAAUACGAAGGGGGCUAGCGUUGUUCGGAUUUACUGGGCGUAAAGCGCACGUAGGCGGACUAUCAAGUCAGGGGUGAAAUCCCGGGGCUCAACCCCGGAACUGCCUUUGAUACUGGUAGUCUUGAGUUCGAGAGAGGUGAGUGGAAUUCCGAGUGUAGAGGUGAAAUUCGUAGAUAUUCGGAGGAACACCAGUGGCGAAGGCGGCUCACUGGCUCGAUACUGACGCUGAGGUGCGAAAGCGUGGGGAGCAAACAGGAUUAGAAACCCUUGUAGUCCC
rnacentral:rRNA from 1 species